rnacentral:tRNA from 1 species
UGGGUCAAAGCCAGUCGGUUAGGGUGCUUAGCUGUUAACUAAGCCUUUGUGGGUUCGAAUCCCAUUGAUCUAG